UGUUUCAUUUGCUUUCAUGGGCAUCAUUAUCAUGUCUGCCAGCCUGGCUGGUUUGCAUCCUGCCUCAGAGCAGUGCAAGCUGAGCAAGGAAGGUAUACGAAAUGAACAUGAUUACUACGAACUUUCCUAUGACUCAGACAAGAAAAAGUGCUCCACUGACAAAUCUAUUCUGACUGGGUCUUUUCACUGAUGCUGAUCAGUACUGUAUUGGAGCUUGGCCUGGCGGUCCUCAGUGCUCUGCUUUGGUGGAAACAGAGUCGCUCUGACUCCCCUGGGAAUGUGAUUUUCCUGUCUCAUAACUCAAAUGAUGAAUCCAAUGUGGAAUCAAAGGCACUCUGUAACUCUGCAUAUGAGGAACAAAUGGUUUGUUAAGAAAAACAAAACAGAACAAAAUUCCCCAAAACAAGUGGGAACUAAACAGCAGAGGGUAUGUCUUCUUGAUAAUGCAGAAAAUACAAUCAUCACAAGGUAGCAAUGCUUGUUACUAAAAAUGUAGACUGUUUAUACAAUGAAUACCAGUAUGAGUUGAAUGGA
rnacentral:lncRNA from 1 species